rnacentral:misc_RNA from 1 species
CGAGACAAAAGCAAGUAGUGUGUUUGGAUCUGCGAAUGUGAGUGAACGUGACCCUAUUCGGGGAAUGAAAUACUCGCAAACGACCUUACCUGUUAACGCUGCAGAUAAUGCUGAGUAAUCAAAUCCUGGAAUCGAUUUCAAUGUGAUCCUAUCGGAGUGUAUGAAAUCGCCAGUCUUUCUACUCUGAAGCUUGUAUUAUACUACGCUGUCUUCAAGAUGCAUUGGCGGCCAGCGUUCCUUGCAAUGUGGGUAGGUCUAGGCAUACUACAGUGUUCUACGCAAUUGCAAGAAGAAGGUUUAGUUCUAAAAGGAAGACUGUGCUGUGAGGAAAGCAAAAUUCUCACUGACAAUGGUUGCGUGCCUGGUGCCAACAAAGCCACUUUCUCACCGCCAAUCUCCGCAAAUCUGUCUCAAAUUACAAGCAACGUCUCGUGGUCUCUCGAGCCGUUAAAAUGUUCCAGCGGAUACUACGUUAACCACCUUCUUCUGGAUGGACGGGAUAAUACGCUAGAUGAAGAGGAGGGAAAGAUUUACCUGAGAUGGUUGGAGGUCAUGGUCUUCAAAAGCAGCUCUGACUACUGCGUGGGGCCGACUGCGGACGGCGGCUACGCGGCUCGGACUUGCCACCCUAAUGUCGAGAAGAUCUGCACGACGGAAACGUGUGUCCAGAAGUGCUGUGGCGACGGAGAGGUUGUGGAGCUGGCAUCGAAGAGCUGCAUAAAACGGGAUGUGGGCGGAUUUUCUCCCGAAUUCCGUACGCUCCAUGGAAGUCCAAUCCCAAGACCCGCGAAUAUUUUGGUGAUCGAGAAGAUGCCUGUUUGCGAAUUUUUGGUUCUCCUCAACCCCCGCGCCAAACCGAAACAGGAGUUCUACCUGCUCCCGAGUGGGACUUUGUAUGAACCGUACUACAACGAAGAAUUCAUGCCGGGCAGAUAUUGUCUGGAAUACUUCGUGGAAAUGUCAGCCGACGUCGCCUUCGUAUGUCGGGAACCUCUAAGUAAGGCCAUAAUAGUCAAGAACCAUCUGCAGGCGGCCGGGUUGGUGGUGUCGUGUGUGUUCCUGUCGGUGACCAUCGUGUGCCACCUCGCCAUCAAACGGCUGCGCGACAUCCAAGGCCUCUGCCUCCUGUGCCACAUGGUGUCGCUGCUGAUCGCUGACGUUGUCCUCUUCAUAGGAUCUCAGUUCUCAAAAGAAAUUAGCAAGUCCCACUGCGUCUUUAAUGGUUUUCUCCUACAGUAUUCAUUUCUUGCGACGUUCUUCUGGCUCAAUGUCAUGUGCUUUGAUGUAUGGCGCGUCAUUAAGGCGACCGUGAAGCUGGUGCCACUGCGGGGUAUCUUAGCCAAUGAUGCCAAGAAGUUCAAGCUGUACUGCGCGUAUGCUUGGGGCGUCCCUCUGGUCGUGACGCUGGUGACCAUCGCGAUGCAUUUCCUGCCCGACGAGAAGGUUUCGGACGCGCUCCUUCGGCCGGGCUUUGGCCUGGAGUCUUGCUGGUUCAGUGGCGAUUAUGAACUUCUGAGUUACUUCUACGGGCUGGUCGGUCUGCUUUUUCUCCUGAACAUGAUUCUCCUCGGCCACACACUCGCGAUGCUGUUCCAGGCCGGCGGCGUCUUCACCCACUGCUGUUCUCGGAAAACCAGUUCACUCACAGCCUUCAACCGGAGUCACCUCGAUGCCUUCUGGCAGCGGUUUAGCCUCUUCUGUUUGAUGGCGCUCUGUUGGGUCACGGAAAUUCUCUCCUGGAAAAUUUAUCCUCAGGAAAUGUGGAUCCCGACAGACUUCAUCAACUCCCUGCAAGGCUUCAUCGUGUUCGUGAUCUUCAUGAGGAGCCGGAAGAAGCGCGAGAUCGUGAGACAGUCGUGGGCGGGCACUGUGUCCACCGUGUCCCAGGCAGUGAGGAAAAUCUCCCGCACGGACGAAACCAGCGUCGUGUUGCACGUGAGCGACAACCAGGUGUGCAUCGCGAACCCCGACGGCUCGUCCUCGGGCAACAGCAAACUCACCGAAGAAAUGACUCCCAACUUGGACGAACGGAAGGACCGAGGGAGCGGCGACGGGGAGGCUUCGCCGGCGGGGGAGACCAACCCAAGCUUCCAAGCAGAUUAAAGCGGAUGUGGGGAUGUUAUCAGAAUUUAUCUUCUGAUAUGAGUGAAUGUGUUGUAGGAUACAGAAAUUGGGUUGCCCGUCAAAUUAUUAUGCCGUGGAAUGUGAAUGUCUAUACUUACCGCCAGUGGUGAAGGAACGAUGCAUACUACUUUGCACAGUUACCCAGAUGUCCUUUACAGCUGCAUCAAUUUCAGCUGUAUUAUUUACAACUGUAUGGGAAGGUUAUAUUAGAUUUAAGUAGAUCUCGUACAUGUAUGCUGACUCCGCCGCCUUGACCUGAACCACAUCUAUAAACGCUUGUGCUUUAAUAAAACUGUGUAAACAUAAA